GGACCCGCACAAGCGGUGGAGUAUGUGGUUUAAUUCGAUGCAACACGAAGAACCUUACCAGGGUUUGAAAUCAUUUCAAAACUCCUUGAAAGAGGAGCCUCCUUCGGGAUGAAAUGACAGGUGGUGCAUGGCUGUCGUCAGCUCGUGUUGUGAAAUGUCGAGUUAAGUCUCGUAACGAGCGCAACCCAUGUCUCUUGUUGCUCACUGAGUGCUUAAGAGAGACUGCCGACCAACAUCGGAGGAAGGUGUGGAUGAUGUCAAGUCAGCAUGCCCCUUACAUCCUGGGCUACACACGUACUACAAUGGUAAGGACAAUGAGCUGCGAUCCUGCGAAGGCUAGCCAAUCUCAAAAACCUGCCCCAGUUCGGAUUGGAGGCUGCAACUCGCCUCCAUGAAGUCGGAAUC
rnacentral:rRNA from 1 species